rfam:Felis catus isolate Cinnamon breed Abyssinian chromosome B2, whole genome shotgun sequence.
GCCUGGGUGGCUCAGUUGGUUAAGCGUCCGACUUCGGCUCAGGUCAUGAUCUCGCGGUUCGUGGGUUCGAGGCCCGCAUCAGGCU